AGAGUUUGAUCCUGGCUCAGGAUGAACUGCCGGCGGUGUGCCUAAUACAUGCAAGUCGUACGCACUGGCCCAACUGAUUGAUGGUGCUUGCACCGGAUUGACGAUGGAUCACCAGUGAGUGGCGGACGGGUGAGUAACACGUAGGUAACCUGCCCCGGAGCGGGGGAUAACAUUUGGAAACAGAUGCUAAUACCGCAUAACAACAAAAGCCACAUGGCUUUUGUUUGAAAGAUGGCUUUGGCUUUCACUCUGGGAUGGACCUGCGGUGCAUUAGCUAGUUGGUAAGGUAACGGCUUACCAAGGCGAUGAUGCAUAGCCGAGUUGAGAGACUGAUCGGCCACAAUGGAACUGAGACACGGUCCAUACUCCUACGGGAGGCAGCAGUAGGGAAUCUUCCACAAUGGGCGCAAGCCUGAUGGAGCAACACCGCGUGAGUGAAGAAGGGUUUCGGCUCGUAAAGCUCUGUUGUUGGAGAAGAACGUGCGUGAGAGUAACUGUUCACGCAGUGACGGUAUCCAACCAGAAAGUCACGGCUAACUACGUGCCAGCAGCCGCGGUAAUACGUAGGUGGCAAGCGUUAUCCGGAUUUAUUGGGCGUAAAGCGAGCGCAGGCGGUUGCUUAGGUCUGAUGUGAAAGCCUUCGGCUUAACCGAAGAAGUGCAUCGGAAACCGGGCGACUUGAGUGCAGAAGAGGACAGUGGAAACUCCAUGUGUAGCGGUGGAAUGCGUAGAUAUAUGGAAGAACACCAGUGGCGAAGGCGGCUGUCUGGUCUGCAAACUGACGCUGAGGCUCGAAAGCAUGGGUAGCGAACAGGAUUAGAUACCCUGGUAGUCCAUGCCGUAAACGAUGAGUGCUAGGUGUUGGAGGGUUUCCGCCCUUCAGUGCCGGAGCUAACGCAUUAAGCACUCCGCCUGGGGAGUACGACCGCAAGGUUGAAACUCAAGGGAAUUGACGGGGGCCCGCACAAGCGGUGGAGCAUGUGGUUUAAUUCGAAGCUACGCGAAGAACCUUACCAGGUCUUGACAUCUUGCGCUAACCUUAGAGAUAAGGCGUUCCCUUCGGGGACGCAAUGACAGGUGGUGCAUGGUCGUCGUCAGCUCGUGUCGUGAGAUGUUGGGUUAAGUCCCGCAACGAGCGCAACCCUUGUUACUAGUUGCCAGCAUUAAGUUGGGCACUCUAGUGAGACUGCCGGUGACAAACCGGAGGAAGGUGGGGACGACGUCAGAUCAUCAUGCCCCUUAUGACCUGGGCUACACACGUGCUACAAUGGAUGGUACAACGAGUCGCAAGCUCGCGAGAGUAAGCUAAUCUCUUAAAGCCGUUCUCAGUUCGGACUGUAGGCUGCAACUCGCCUACACGAAGUCGGAAUCGCUAGUAAUCGCGUAUCAGAAUGCCGCGGUGAAUACGUUCCCGGGUCUUGUACACAACGCCCGUCA
rnacentral:rRNA from 1 species